AGUCGCGACCCAGCAGCACGGCUCAGUCUGAAUGACGCUGAGUCCGACAGAUUGAAUGGGGCCGUCUCCGCCCUGGACCAUGUCAGACUUCUUCUGUACUGGACAUUAACACCCCUAUAGAGAAACCACCACUUCAUUCCGGUUGGCGUUGAGUAACACCCGUCCUCGCCUCCGUCAUGCGUUUCGCCAAACGCUAAAAUGCCAGGGUUAUGAGUCGAAUCCAGCGAUGCCGAUGUCGCCCAAGGUCUUCCACUACCGUUCCGCCUCCCGCUUCCGCCGCUUCUCAUCCUCCCCCGCCUUCCCCCUUAUUUGCCUAAUCUUCGGCAUCGCCGGUGUCCUCUUCGGCCUUUUCUCCAUCACGAGACCCGCCAGAAAGUGCCCCGAUGUCGAACCCAGGGCGUUGUCUUUCAUGUGGGACCGUAAUGAAGGCGGAGGAGCUGGUGGUGGAGUGGCGGAGCGGCACAAGGUAAUGGGUUUCGUCGGGAUCCAGACGGGAUUUGGAUCCGUUGGUCGACGGUGGGCUAUCAGGCAGACGUGGUUGCCCGCCGAUCGCCAAGGUCUUCUUCGCUUGGAAGAGGCGACUGGCUUGGCCUUCAGAUUUGUUAUAGGAAAGACCAAAGAUAAAUCAAAAAUGGCAGCGCUUCAAACAGAGGUGAAUGAGUAUGAUGACUUCAUGCUUAUAGAUAUUGAGGAAGAGUACAGCAAUCUUCCAUAUAAAACGUUAGCUUUCUUUAAAGCAGCAUUUGCACUUUAUGAUUCAGAUUUCUAUGUGAAAGCUGAUGAUGAUAUAUAUUUGAGACCAGAUCGACUUUCCUUGCUUUUGGCAAAAGAGCGACCAACCACUCAAACAUAUCUUGGAUGCAUGAAAAAGGGUCCUGUAUUCACUGACCCUCACCUCAAGUGGUACGAGCCACUAUCACACCUGCUUGGGACAGGAUACUUUCUUCAUGCUUAUGGUCCCAUAUAUGCACUUUCAUCUGAUGUGGUGUCGAGCUUGGUUGCACUGAGAAACAACAGUUUCCGAAUGUUCAGCAACGAGGACGUGACAAUAGGUUCCUGGAUGCUUGCUAUGAAUGUCAACCAUGAAAACAACCUUGCUCUUUGCGAGCCUGAUUGUUCGUCAUCAUCAAUUGCUGUUUGGGAUAUUCCAAGAUGCUCAGGCCUCUGCAACCCAGAAGUGAAGAUGUUACAACUCCACAAAAAGGAGAUAUGUUCAGGAAUUCCAAAAUCAUCAGAUGAAUGAGAAGCUUGGAAACACGGAACUGGAUAGAAAAAAAUCCAACUUGCAACCAGAAAGUAGAAAGUCUCUGCUGGAUUGUUACUUCUUUUCAAAAAUUUUGAUGUGAGGAUAAACCCAACUCAAACCACACCGUGAUGACACGCAAAUUGUAAGGACAUUUAAUCUCAUCUAGCUUCACGUUGGUUUAACUCGAA